rnacentral:sRNA from 1 species
GAACCGGAAACUGCGUCUUUGAUGGCCUUC